AUAGAGCGAUAGUUUGAUGGGAUGAACACAGUCCAUUUUUUUGCUGCACCAGCAAAGAAGAAGAACGAGAACAACAUUGGGUGCAGUGCAGCAGACACAACACAAUGACUGAAAAAUCUAUGAUCCACUAUAUUUGGACCCCGGGUACAAUGGGGGCUGCCGGCUACACGCAGGGAAGACAAAAACUGUCAGCCGAAAGAGGAGCGAUGUGUGCCGUCCAUUUAUUCAGACUGAUGAUUAUUAGAAGUCCAUUGUGCUUUGUGUGCGCCUGUGGCAUCCUGUUCCACAGCCAUCCAUCUAUUCAUACUUCCUGACCCAGAAUGAUCAAGUCUCACGCAAGUGGGCCGAUGCGCCGAGAGCUUUAUGACGUGAAUAAUGUGAAACCAUGUUAGGCAUCGAGUCCAAUAGCGGCUCCCUGACGGAUGGACGGACGAGCGAUGGAUCAGUGGGUUGGGGCAUGCAUAGAUGAAAAUACAUUACAAGGGCCCUCGAUAAACGAGGGUACCGACAUAUGCAGUUUGGCCAAGUGAUGCCCAACUCGGGAUGCAGGAAUAGUCAUUGCUCCCACAGAGCAGAGAGAAUAUAUGCCUUUUUCCAGUCAACUUCGAGUAGAAGUGAGAAAUAAACAGCUUGAAGUAAGCAUCCUUCGCAUCUUAUUUGGAGAACUGUGCUGCCGCUCAACCUGCUCGUAAAGCGUCAUCCAUAAACAUGUGCCGUGUGACCUACCUCCAGAUAAGGUACAGGAGCGAUGGAUGGGAAGGGGUAUUCCCUCAGCUGUCUCUCCUCAUCCAGAAACUUGCCAGCCUUGCCGUUGUAUGCCGGCUGGAACAGGCCAUAGUUGAGCACGUCCUUCAGGCUCUGGUUGAGCGUGCACAGGAUCCGCUGCUUGGAGCGCCAGAUGGGAACGUCCACGUUGAAUUUCAUGCAUUUCUGCAGGAACCACAGGAGAGGGUCAGUCACAUGUGUCAUAUUUUUUUUUCUUCCCAGAUUACACAUGAUGAACUUUAAAGAAAAAAAGACUGACACGUAGGUGGAACGUGCUCCUGGAAAUGGUCAAAAAGGCCAUAAAAUGGCAGUUUGAAACCAAAAUGUCAGACGUCCUGUGUCUUUUGGGGCAUGGGUUCAUGAGACUUUUUUGUGGGUCUACUCAUGAUAGACAUACCCACCAAUUUUUUAUGCUGCUAAGUGAAACUAGUUUUGGGGGUUGAAUUUUGAAAGACUUCCAGGAGGCACUAAAUUAG